rnacentral:rRNA from 1 species
GUUGAACGCUGGCGGCAGGCCUAACACAUGCAAGUCGAACGAGUGGCGGACGGGUGAGUAAUGUCUGGGAAACUGCCUAAUGGAGGGGUAUAACUACUGGAAACGGUAGCUAAUACCGCAUAACAUCAGUUGUGCCCAGAGGGGAUUAGCUAGUUGGUGGGGUAACGGCUCACCAAGGCGACGAUGCCUAGCUGGUCUGAGAGGCUGAUCGGCCACACUGGAACUGAGACACGGUCCAGACUCCUACGGGAGGCAGCAGUGGGGAAUAUUGGGCAAUGGGCGCAAGCCUGAUGCAGCCACGCCGCGUGUAUGAAGAAGGUUUUCGGGUUGUAAAGCACUGUCAGCGGGGAGGCGUUAUCCGAAGAAGAAGCACCGGCUAACUCCGUGCCAGCAGCCGCGGUAAUUC